GUGCUUUUGCUAGCACAUAUGCUAAAAUUGGAAUGGUCAGUGAAGAGUAGCAUAGCCUCUUUGCAAGAAUGACAUUCAAAUUCAUGUACUAUUGCUUAUUUAA